rnacentral:rRNA from 1 species
AAGUAUAAAGGUCCAGCCUGCCCAGUGAACUAGCUUUCAACGGCCGCGGUAUCCUAACCGUGCAAAGGUAGCGUAAUCACUUGUCCUCUAAUUAAGGGCUCGUAUGAACGGCCACAUGAGGGCCUAACUGUCUCAUACAAUAAGUCAAUGAAACUGAACUUUCAGUCCAAAAGCUGAAAUAACCACAUAAGACGAGAAGACCCCGCGGAGCUUCAAGUAGCCCACUACCGAAAACUACAAUGGCACCCAACGCCACUAAACUUCACCCAUAGCCGGGCACUUUAAGUUGGGGCGACUACGGAGCAAAACCAAACCUCCACGGCAGGACUAAACACCCACACGAGGCCUACAAGCCAAACGUAACACACACAGACCCAGUCAAACUGACCAUCGAACCAAGUUACCCCGGGGAUAACAGCGCCAUCCCCCCUUAGAGUCCUUAUCGCAGGGGGGGCUUACGACCUCGAUGUUGGAUCAGGGCCCCCAGGCGGUGCAGCCGCUGCCAACGGUUCGUUUGUUCAAC